CUAGACGUAGCCGGUGUGUUUAACAAGCCAUAGUGUUGUAACUCAUAGAGGAGGAGAGAAGGAAUCACUGCUCAGGUUGGGGAUCUACUCAGCACGGAGAGGCAGGGAGCUUAGAUUUAGACCAGCUCACAUCACACAGCUUCCGAGCAAGACACAAACGCAACUUGCAAGCUCAUAAAAAGUCCGAGUAUCACUUUCAAGAGCACCUUUGUGACUUAGCAACAGUGACUCAGGCACCUAAGUCACAGAGGUGCCUCUGACAAGGUUACCCACUCUCUCCACUGACAACCAGGCACACCCAUCCCUACCCACCACAACAAAAACAUCUUCCCUUCUGGAGAAACCAAGCGACAGCAUGGGAGUGGAAUUCCAGAGUUCAGAAUCCCCUGAGAGCAAUCCGCCUCCAGAUCUACAGGCUACAGGCAAAAGCAUCUUGGCUGGCUUCAAACACAGCGACAGAACUUGGGGGCAAAGGGGAAUAAAGUGGAAAAGGCAGGUGGCCGCAGCAACACACCGUAUUAGGGCUAGAGGUUUUUGGUAACAUGAGCCCCGCAGAGCAGCAGAGGGCGCUCACACAGUGUGCUUUCAGUGAGUCCACACCAAAAAAAGCAAAUCCCCAUUCCCAGGGCAACAUAUGCCAUCAACUCGCAAUCUCUGGAGAUUCAGAUGAGCACACAGCAUUGUUAGAGGACGACUCACAAAAGGAUUGGAACCUUAGAUUGGGAGCUGAGCUGACCAGUCAGUCCAGAAUUCACUGUGACUACAAUUACACUUCACAAAAUCCAGAGAUGCAGCUCAUCUCUGCUGUGAUCCCUGAGAAGAUCUGAAGUCAUGAAGACAGAAAGGCAGCCUGUUGCUUGCAUUGGCCAGUUGGAUCACAGCAUUGGCCAGCAGCUGAAGCAGAAUCACUCAGCAAAACUGCGAGAAAACACUCUAGGGUGGGAAUUAAAGCAAAAGCAAAACACCCCAAUCUGAAUAAAAUUGCAAAAAUAAAUUCCUUGGAGAUCUGUGUUAAAAAUAUUCAGAUUAAACUGACAGGCUGCAGUUAGCAUCAGGAGCUAGUUACUCCCUUUGUCCUAAAUAUUCUUCCUGAUUAGAAUGCAAGCAAUGGAGAUGCUGCUCCUUUUCUGUCAUCAGUUCUUAUACAUUUUAGGGCAAAGUUGUUUAUGUUAAACAGUCCUCGGUGCGACUAGUACUAGAUGCUAAUCCUAUAGCAAUCUCCACCAGCCUCUAUAUAUUUUACUAAGGCAGUGAACACUCAAGGAGGAUUAAGAAUGAGCCAGCAUUGUCGCAGUAUUUUCCUAUUUAAAUCACAGCAAUUCUUUCUCUGUCUCCUAAUAUUUACAUACACUGUGUGUAAAAGCAACCCACAAGAGUCUCAAAAGACCACAAAAUUGCCUUUCACCCUGCUAGCAAUCUGUGUGUGCAUUCUCUUCAAAUCUAUGGGCUCUGACUGCUGCUUUAUUGUAAAUCUAUUUGCAUUUUACAACACUAUGGCUCCAUUUUAUUGUCCUGCCUUGGUUAUUAUUCAUUCUUGUUAUUUAUAGAGCAUCAGCGUGGCAGGUGCACACACACCUUAGCAGUCUUAAAAGACCAACGAAUAUACAGUCUAAUUUAGACAGACACACUGCAAGAGGUAAUAAACUAACAAGAAUGGGAAGUGGGUUGGGCCCAUGAAAGCUCAUGAUACCACCUACAU